CUUACGCCUGUUUGUGCAGCCGUUUAAUUGGUAUUCAAAAAAGUAUCUUAUAAGAAUAAAGCAAACAAGAUUCUUAUUUUAGGAUGCAUCUGCUGUAAAUUUCUAGGUUAAAUUCAACAGAAAUCUAGGAAUAUGGUUAAUAUUAACAAACAAAUGUUCAUGGACGUCCCUCAAAUGAACACACUAAGAAACAGAGGUAAUAUUUGUGGAGUGCACGACUGGUAGUUAUCCUGUGAACAUAUUCUCCCACCUGAGCUGCGGAUUUCUGCAGCUCCUCCAGAGUGACCAUGGGCCCCUUGGCUGCUUCUCUGUUCCACUUGCUCGAUCUUUCAGUCCAUUUGAUGAAAAAUCAGACCAAAACAACAGCAACGAGACCCAUGAGAGGAGGUGGGCUCGGUCCGGUUUGGAACAGAAUCACUCCGCAAUCUUGGUCAAAUAUAUUCCUGUAAAAAUGACAUGUAAUAAAGAUGUUGGUUAUAGUGUGUUGU